rnacentral:rRNA from 1 species
GACGGACUUUGGCGGCGUGCUUAACACAUGCAAGUCGAACGGAAAGGCCCUGCUUUUGUGGGGUGCUCGAGUGGCGAACGGGUGAGUAACACGUGAGUAACCUGCCCUUGACUUUGGGAUAACUUCAGGAAACUGGGGCUAAUACCGGAUAGGAGCUCCUGCUGCAUGGUGGGGGUUGGAAAGUUUCGGCGGUUGGGGAUGGACUCGCGGCUUAUCAGCUUGUUGGUGGGGUAGUGGCUUACCAAGGCUUUGACGGGUAGCCGGCCUGAGAGGGUGACCGGCCACAUUGGGACUGAGAUACGGCCCAGACUCCUACGGGAGGCAGCAGUGGGGAAUAUUGCACAAUGGGCGGAAGCCUGAUGCAGCAACGCCGCGUGCGGGAUGACGGCCUUCGGGUUGUAAACCGCUUUCGCCUGUGACGAAGCGUGAGUGACGGUAAUGGGUAAAGAAGCACCGGCUAACUACGUGCCAGCAGCCGCGGUGAUACGUAGGGUGCGAGCGUUGUCCGGAUUUAUUGGGCGUAAAGGGCUCGUAGGUGGUUGAUCGCGUCGGAAGUGUAAUCUUGGGGCUUAACCCUGAGCGUGCUUUCGAUACGGGUUGACUUGAGGAAGGUAGGGGAGAAUGGAAUUCCUGGUGGAGCGGUGGAAUGCGCAGAUAUCAGGAGGAACACCAGUGGCGAAGGCGGUUCUCUGGGCCUUUCCUGACGCUGAGGAGCGAAAGCGUGGGGAGCGAACAGGCUUAGAUACCCUGGUAGUCCACGCUGUAAACGGUGGGUACUAGGUGUGGGGUCCAUUCCACGGGUUCCGUGCCGUAGCUAACGCUUUAAGUACCCCGCCUGGGGAGUACGGCCGCAAGGCUAAAACUCAAAGGAAUUGACGGGGCCCCGCACAAGCGGCGGAGCAUGCGGAUUAAUUCGAUGCAACGCGUAGAACCUUACCUGGGUUUGACAUGGAUCGGGAGUGCCCAGAGAUGGGUGUGCCUCUUUUGGGGUCGGUUCACAGGUGGUGCAUGGCUGUCGUCAGCUCGUGUCGUGAGAUGUUGGGUUAAGUCCCGCAACGAGCGCAACCCUUGUUCACUGUUGCCAGCACGUUAUGGUGGGGACUCAGUGGAGACCGCCGGGGUCAACUCGGAGGAAGGUGGGGAUGACGUCAAGUCAUCAUGCCCCUUAUGUCCAGGGCUUCACGCAUGCUACAAUGGCUGGUACAGAGAGUGGCGAGCCUGUGAGGGUGAGCGAAUCUCGGAAAGCCGGUCUCAGUUCGGAUUGGGGUCUGCAACUCGACCUCAUGAAGUCGGAGUCGCUAGUAAUCGCGGAUCAGCAACGCUGCGGUGAAUACGUUCCCGGGGCU